UCCUGGUUAACCCAGGCAGUCUCAUUAGAGUUCCCAUCCGAAAUGUUGGCAACUAAUGAUAAGGGUUGCGCUCGUUGCGGGACUUAACCCAACACCUCACGGCACGAGCUGACGACAGCCAUGCAGCACCUGUGCAGAUGUCCCGAAGGAAGUCUCUAUUUCUAGAGCUGUCAUCUGCAUGUCAAGCCUGGGUAAGGUUCUUCGCGUUGCAUCGAAUUAAACCACAUGCUCCACUGCUUGUGCGGGUCCCCGUCAAUUCUUUUGAGUUUCACCCUUGCGAGUGUACUCCCCAGGCGGUAUACUUAACGCGUUAGCUACGGCACAACCAGGGUUGAGUCCGGUUACACCAAGUAUACAUCGUUUACGGCAAGGACUAC
rnacentral:misc_RNA from 1 species